ACUAACCAGGAUUCUCUAAGUAACUGCGAGUGAACAGAGAUUAGCCCAGCACCGAAGCCUAUGGUCUUGAUCAUAAGGCAAUGUGGUGUUAAGGCGUACUUCUGACAUUGCUAACCUACCCGAAGUCCAGCAUUGAAAAUGGCUUGGAUAUUGCCCACAGAGGGUGAAAGGCCCUUACGGGUAGGUUUCAGUUGUGAAAGCAUUGUUUAGAUGUGUGCGCCUUUGAGUCGGAUUGCUUGAGAAUGCAGUCUAAAUUGGGUGGUAAACUCCAUCCAAGGCUAAAUACCUGUACGAGUCCGAUAGUAAACAAGUACCGUGAGGGAAAGUUGAAAAGUACUCUGAAGAGAGAGUAAAUAGUACGUGAAACUGUCUGUAGGUUAACCGGGUGGAGUCCAGCUGCGU
rnacentral:rRNA from 1 species